rnacentral:lncRNA from 1 species
UAGAAUUAUAUACAUUAUUAUUAUUAUUAUUAUAAACAUUAUUAUGAUAAUGUAUAUGACAUGUAACGUGCUCUUCCUAAACGUAAAAAAAAGCUUUCACAAACACUGGCACAAAAACUCCCUUUCCCUUGCGGCUUUGCGGCGCACCCUCGCACUCCGCGCCUACCCUCUUGUCUCUACGAGCUGCUAGCCUUCGGUGUAUGUUGUUGUAGAAGCGAUGAUGGCGGCAGCGGGAUGCGGAUCAGCAACCGCGGCUGCCGUAGGAGGCCAGGGCGGCACUGUUACUGCGAGGGGACGUUUUCCCGGUCGGCCGUGGUCGUCUCGCAGUCGUUUGCGCUCAGAGAAGCGAUGGCAGCUUGGGCGAUCAGGCUUAGAAGCUGAUGAUGUGACAAAUGGAGGCCAAAGGCCCCAAAACCUGGUCCUAUCGUUAAACGAAGACCAGUCCCACUUACGCUUACUUGGGAUAGAAGCUAGCCAUAAGACCCUUGGCCAGGCUGGCUACAGCUCUAGUGAGAGCGAAGAGGUGAGGUCCCAGUCCCACCCAGGAGUGGACGACUUCAGAGGCUUUGAAGCUGAGAAAAAGGGUUCCAAAUCAUUGCGACAAAACCUUUUAGAGGUAAGAGUAAUAUUAUUUUUUCCGUUUUAUAUGGUUAAAAACGUUAACGCUACUUUCUUAGAUUGAUUGUAUAAUGAAUUUCUAAAUUCUAAACUGUGUAUCCUCAGGUGAGAGCUGCAAAUCUAACAGUCAAAGUGAGGAGGUACCAGCUUCAGCCACAAUGGAUACAGACAUUUCCUCUUGUGAUCAGUCUGAAGGUGACAAAGGCUUGGUCCAAAUGCUAGGUUCGUCUUCUCAAACAGAGCCUGCUAAAGACUGUAAAAAGGAUCAAAACGGAAAAACACGAAAGACCGUCAGGCCACCAAACCUGCCGCAUCAGCGCCAAGGAUUACCAUAAAAUUGGUGGCUAAAAAGAAAACCAAAAAAGUAAAAGAGCUUCACAAAAAUCUUUGGAAACUUCAAAAGAAAAAGAACUUAAAGAUGUACCUGAAAUAAAGGACUUUGUGGACGAGCAGAUUUCCAGUGCACAUGUGAAAUUAAAACCUGAACCUGUUAAUGAAAACAAUAACACUGAAGAUAAGAGGGAAGAGUGUGUUCAAGUGAGAAGACGUGGAAGAUCUGCUGCCAAACCUGCAGAAACGGCAAAAAAGAACACCAAAGUUGUGGCAAGUGAACAAAAAACACCAACCAUAAUUCAGACAGAAUCUACUUGUGGCGAUGGAGCCACAGAUCCAAAAUUAACAACUGUAAAACACCAAGACAAUGCGAGAGAGUCCAGUUCGGAUGGUCAUCAACCUAGUACUCGCAGAAGCACUAGAGUCAAACCCCCAAUUUCUAAAAGCGUCACAGGCACUGUGACUGAACCAGCUAACUUGGUCAGUGUGGAGGUUGUUUCAACAGAUUCAAAGAUAAAUGAAGAGCUCAAAUCAACAACCCAAAACAAUAAGCGAAGGCAAAGUAAAAGGCUAAAUAAGGAUGUUCAUAAUCCAGACAUUCAGAAUCCAUUGACUGCAGAUGUAAAUGACACCACUGUGCAACCUACUGACUGUUUACAGUCUAAAGAAGAAACAGUUCCAAAAUUGAAAUUAUUACGGAUUAGAAAUCCUAAAUAUGAUGCUCAGGCCAGUGAAAAGAAUUUAACUAGAAAAGAAAAAAAGGAAAAGGUUCAUAUGGACUC